AGUAAGGAAGGGAUAAGUUCGGGUGUCACCGAACAUUUUAUACUCUCGCAUGAUAAAGUGAUAAUCGAGAUUUCAUUAUCCGUCAUUUACAUAUUUUUUUAUUUUGCUGUAAAAUUAAUUAGAAUUAAAUUCUGAGAGAUUUACCGAUAUUUUCGGUGAAAAAUUAGGUUAGGUUAGGUUAGGCACUGAGUUCUUCGUGUUCGAUAUCAGGAACCUUGAAAAGUUAUAGUCCGAUCACGACAAUUUUUCCACAAGGGAUACCUCAGCUCAAAUACCGUAUUUGUGUAAAGUUUUAUUCCGCUAUCAUCAUUGGUUCCUAAUGUAUAUAUUAUACAGAGAAGGCAUCAGAUGGAAUUCAAAAUAACGUUAUAUUGGAAGAAGGCGUGGUUGUGAACCGAUUUCACCCAUAUUUCGUACAUGUCAUCAGGGUGUUAAGAAAGUAUUAUAUA